CCAAAGUUUUUUGAAUCACAAUCCUCAUGACUUUAAAAAUUUCCUAAUCCAAACUAUACAUAAAAUAGGAAAUGUAAAUGUUAAUCUUUCCCAUAACAAUCCCAAAAUUCUACUUAGAAAAAGAAGCUCUUAAAAAUUUGUGCAAACAUUAUAAGCAAAAAAAACAAUUGACAUUUUGAGACUUGAUAAACUAUUAAACUAACUAGAUAUAAUUUAAAUGUACCUAUAUUAGAUGGUUGCAUUGUGUGGAUCUCAUAUUCGAGAUCUUCUAAUAUCUUUUGUAUAAUAUCUACAUUGCAAAGCCUUUGUUAGAUCAAAGAUGAUCAUCUUUUGGGCACGUUUGGGCCGCGGGUGCGAUGCGUGAAGCGGAACCAAUAAUUUUUUUUAAAAAAAAGAGGGAAGGAACGUGGCCGUAUGAAAACAAUAUUUGAAUUUUUAGUCCCAUAUCAAAAAAAUAUAAAAUUCUCCUCCCUGCCUACACCUAUAAAUAAAGCCUAAUACCUCUAUUCAUAGAUAUCUCUCCACUCUAUAAUUCUUGUAGGGGAUCUGUGUGAUAGGCAGGCAUACCCACCUUUUAAACUUUUUCGUCAUUUUUUUUUCACUUUCUUUCACUCUUCCAACACACGAGAAGAAGAGUCAGUCAGAGGGAGGUUGGUCUCAGAUCAAGAGAGGGAGAGAAAUCUAGUUCUGUAAGAAAUUUUAUUUUUUUAUAUUCUAACUUUAAGUCUUGUUAAUGGCUUAGGAGUUGAAAAUUUUUUGUAUCAAAAUUUUUAUUCAGUAAUAAAUUAGUUAUUUUUUUCUAUUUAAUUUUUAUAAUUUUAAUUUCUGCAAUAGGAUAGUUUAAAUUCCUGCAUCUUUUAAUUUUAUAAUUUUUAAUUUUCAUAAGUUCAAUUCCAGCAAGU
rnacentral:lncRNA from 1 species